UGCCCAGCAUCCCUGGGAGGGCCCUGUGGUAGUUUCAGCUCCCUCUGGGGGCCCAGAAUGGACCUGGCCUGUGGUGAGGAUGUAAGCACCAAUGGCCAAUUGGGUCCAAAGGAAGACACCGGUUCAAACACUGAAACCAGUCAGAUUCUCCCCCGGCCUUCCUGCUAUGGGAAGACACUGGUGCAGGGGUGGUUGCUGUGUACAGAGCAGAGCCACCCAAUCCCCACGCAGGCGCUGUGUCCUGCCACGCUGGCCGCCUCCUGGCCAUCACAUCGGGCCAAGCAGGGGACAGGAAUGGGAAUGCCCACGCACCCCUAUCAAUUCUGCAGACACAGAACCAUGCACAGCUCUUGGGAGGAGUCAACGUGAGCUGCUCAAAGCCCGGGAGGGACCACACAGUGGUCAGCGUGGCAGGGACGGUGCUUUAGCCAAGGCAGGGAUGGUGGGAGACUCACUUGGGAUCCUCAAGGAGGCUGCUGCAUUUCCGUGCUCUUUCCAGAUAACAAGGACGUGUCGGUGAUGAUGAGCGAGAUGGACGUGAACGCCAUCGCAGGCACGCUGAAGCUGUACUUCCGUGAGCUGCCUGAGCCCCUCUUCACUGACGAGUUCUACCCCAACUUCGUAGAGGGCAUCGGGUGGCAGAGAAGGAGGCAGUCAAUAAGAUGUCCCUGCACAACCUUGCCACGGUCUUUGGCCCCACGCUGCUCCGGCCCUCCGAGAAGGAGAGCAAGCUCCCUGCCAACCCCAGCCAGCCCAUCACCAUGACUGACAGCUGGUC
rnacentral:sRNA from 1 species